rnacentral:sRNA from 1 species
GAGCGGGGCCCCGAGCGCAGCAGCAGCGCCGGACGCGGCGCAAAGUCCGGCCGGCAGGGCUCGCGGGCCGGAGAACGGAGCGGGUCGGGCGGGCAGGGGCUGGUGACCAAAGCAGCGGGAGACGGUCCCCGACGCACCAGGCUGGCGGCCCAGCUGCCCCGCCGCGGCCACCUGCUCCGCGUCCCCGGCCCCAAUCGAUACCAAAUAUCCGGAGCCCGGAAAUGGACCGGGGCCGUCCAAGGAGAGAUGGUAGAUGGCCAUAAAAACCCCGAAUACAACGUACAGAAUGAAGAGCAGCUGAUAAAAUUCCGGGCCAGUUUGGAGUAAAGUGUGUACACAAUCAGCUGGGAGAACUGAGUCAUUCAUUCAUCAAAAUCGCAUGAAUGUGUCUACCAAGUGUGAUGUUAGACAACCUCUCCUGUUUCAUCUCCUGGCAACAGAAUGCAUCCUCCUUUUGGGAAACUGGCUCUUUCCCCACUCCUCAGAGAUCUGCCUCUAGGAGAUGAUGAGGCCAAACUGAAGACAGAAGCAAAGAGAAGAGAAAGGGAGAUGAAGAGGGCAUGUUCUGAUGUUACCACAGUAGCAAAGCAGGAUAUCCCCAGAGCAGCUGGCAUUUCGGCAACUCCUAGAUUCUGGGAUCUACAACCCGCAAACUCUCAACUUAUCCUCAGUUUUGCUUAAGCUAGUAAUAGUUGAUUUUCUGUCACUCACA